GGCUCCGUAGUCCAACGGGCAAGAUAUCUGGCUGUUAACCAGGUGAUGACCGUUCGAAUCGGUCCGGAGCCG
rnacentral:tRNA from 2 species